rnacentral:rRNA from 1 species
AUGUCGUCGCCAACACGGCGCGCCCAAGUUCCCUGGUCGAGCAUCCCCACCGAGCUUGCGGGCGUCGUGCUCCGCCGCCUGCCUUGCCAUGCCGACCGGGUCCGCUUCGCCGCCGUCUGCAAACAGUGGCGCGCCUCUGCGCGGCAGACCUCUCCGCCCCCGCACUACCCGUGGCUCGCCUUGCCUGACCGGACAUUCUACAGCCUGCCCGGCUCCGCCUUCCGGCGGCUGCCGCUCCACCUCGACCGCCACCGGCAGCUGCCGCACGCGCAGAGCUCCUGCGGCGAGUGGCUCGUGUUCGAGCGCUUCGACGGCGCCUACACGCUGGUCAGCCCCUUCUCCAUGUCCACCACCAUCCUGCUCCCCGGCCUCUCCGGCACGUAUGCUCCCAACGUGCCUCUCCUCGUCGCAACCGACCAGCCGGUGCCCGACAUGCUGAAGCUCGUCGUGUGCUCUGGCAACCUCGUCGCCGCGAUCGUCAAUGAUGACGAGGCAUUGACGUAUAGCAGCAAGCUUGCCUUGUGCCGGCCAGGGGCGUCCUCGUGGUGGUCGAGCACACCCGACGAGCUUCGAGACCUCCAAGACAUUGUCUCCUGCGAGGGAAAGCUCUACGCCCUCGACAAGUUCAACGGGCUCUUCUCCGUCUCCGUCGGCACGGACAGGCGCACCGGCAAUCCGACUGUGUCACGGGUCGAGCGCCUCAUGGGUAGCCCCCACGGGGUCCUCAAACACUCGUCGCGAUACCUGCUAGAAUCAAGCGGCACGUUGCUGCUGGUCUGCAGGGAGGACGCGAUGCUCGAGGGGUUCAGCGGCGGCUCGAUGGGCGGGCUGGAGCUGGAGCUGGAGUUCGAGGUACUCAAGGCGGACGUGGAGAGGUCGCGGUGGACGAGCGUAAGGAGCGUGGGCGACGACCGGGUGCUGUUCGUCGGGCCAUGGUGCUCCCGGGCGGUUCAUGCUACCGGCGAGCAUGACCCAAUCUACACCGCUGGGAACCGCAUCUUCUUCAUGGUGGACGCUAGCGCGAAAAGAUACAAUCAUGGAUACUACGGGACACAACAGGAGCCCUUCUACUGCAUCGUCUACGACAUGAGCACGCAGCGGUCGGAGUUGUUCCUGGAGAAGCCGGUGCGCCCGUUAAAGGGCUUCCCGGUGACAUGGCUUUUCCCUCCAACCCAGCGCUAG